GAGUUUGAUCAUGGCUCAGGAUGAACGCUGACAGAAUGCUUAACACAUGCAAGUCUACUUGAUCCUUCGGGUGAAGGUGGCGGACGGGUGAGUAACGCGUAAAGAACUUGCCUUACAGACUGGGACAACAUUUGGAAACGAAUGCUAAUACCGGAUAUUAUGAUUGGGUCGCAUGAUCUGGUUAUGAAAGCUAUAUGCGCUGUGAGAGAGCUUUGCGUCCCAUUAGUUAGUUGGUGAGGUAACGGCUCACCAAGACGAUGAUGGGUAGCCGGCCUGAGAGGGUGAACGGCCACAAGGGGACUGAGACACGGCCCUUACUCCUACGGGAGGCAGCAGUGGGGAAUAUUGGACAAUGGACCAAAAGUCUGAUCCAGCAAUUCUGUGUGCACGAUGAAGUUUUUCGGAAUGUAAAGUGCUUUCAGUUGGGAAGAAGUCAGUGACGGUACCAACAGAAGAAGCGACGGCUAAAUACGUGCCAGCAGCCGCGGUAAUACGUAUGUCGCAAGCGUUAUCCGGAUUUAUUGGGCGUAAAGCGCAUCUAGGCGGCUUAGUAAGUCUGAUGUGAAAAUGCGGGGCUCAACCCCGUAUUGCGUUGGAAACUGCUAAACUAGAGUACUGGAGAGGUAGGCGGAACUACAAGUGUAGAGGUGAAAUUCGUAGAUAUUUGUAGGAAUGCCGAUGGGGAAGCCAGCCUACUGGACAGAUACUGACGCUAAAGCGCGAAAGCGUGGGUAGCAAACAGGAUUAGAUACCCUGGUAGUCCGCGCCGUAAACGAUGAUUACUAGGUGUUGGGGGUCGAACCUCAGCGCCCAAGCUAACGCGAUAAGUAAUCCGCCUGGGGAGUACGUACGCAAGUA
rnacentral:rRNA from 1 species